UCCUGGCUGGCUCAGUCAGUAGAGCAUGUGACUCUUGAUCUCAGGAUUGUGGGUUUCAGCCCCAUGUUGGGUG
rnacentral:tRNA from 1 species